rnacentral:rRNA from 1 species
GUAGUUAAUUGGGGGGGACAGCGAUGGGCUACAUUUUCUAGCAAAGAAGCCCCCAGCAAUAUGAAAUAAUGCCAUAAGACGGAUUUAGCAGUAAAUAGAGCAAGAGCCGCUCAAUUGAAGCUCGCCCUGAGACGCGUACACACCGCCCGUCACCCUCCUCAGAAACCAAAAAUCAAAAUAACUAAGCCCCUCCCCCAAAUCUACCAGAUGAGGCAAGUCGUAACAUGGUAAGUGUACUGGAAAGUGCACUUGGCAAAAC